CAUGCAAGUCGAGCGAGAAGCUAACUUCGGUUAGUGGAAAGCGGCGCACGGGUGAGUAACGCGUGGGAAUUUACCUUUUGGUGGGGGACAACAGUUGGAAACGACUGCUAAUACCGCAUAUACCCUACGGGGGAAAGAUUUAUCGCCAAAAGAUGGGCCCGCGUUAGAUUAGGUAGUUGGUAGGGUCAAAGCCUACCAAGCCUACGAUCUAUAGCUGGUUUGAGAGAACGAUCAGCCACACUGGAACUGAGACACGGUCCAGACUCCUACGGGAGGCAGCAGUGGGGAAUCUUGCACAAUGGGCGAAAGCCUGAUGCAGCCAUGCCGCGUGAGUGAGAAGGCCUUCGGGUUGUAAAACUCUUUUAGAUGUGAAGAUGAUGACGGUAACAUCAGAAAAAGCCCCGGCUAACUUCGUGCCAGCAGCCGCGGUAAUACGAAGGGGGCUAGCGUUGUUCGGAAUUACUGGGCGUAAAGAGCGUGUAGGCGGCUAGAUAAGUUAGGGGUGAAAUCCCGGAGCUCAACUUCGGAAUUGCCUUUGAUACUGUCUAGCUUGAGAUUGCGAGGGGAUAGCGGAAUACCCAGUGUAGAGGUGAAAUUCGU
rnacentral:rRNA from 1 species